rnacentral:rRNA from 1 species
AGUUAACGUUGGCGGCGUGCCUAACACAUGCAAGUCGAACGCGUCCUAAGGGCAACUUUAGGAUGAGUGGCGAACGGGUGAGUAUCACGUGGGUAAUCUUCCUUUAAGUGGGGAAUAAGCUCUCGAAAGGGAGUCUAAUACCGCAUGACAUUCCGGGACACAAGUCCCGUAAUCAAAGCCGCAAGGCGCUUGAAGAUGAGCCUGCGUCCUAUUAGCUGGCUGGUGGGGUAACGGCCCACCAGGGCAACGAUGGCUAGGGGGUCUGAGAGGAUGGUCCCCCAACUGGUACUGAGACACGGACCAGACUCCUACGGGAGGCAGCAGUGAGGAAUAUUGGUCAAUGGGCGAAGCCUGAACCAGCCAUGCCGCGUGCGGGAUGAAGGCCCCUAAGGGUUGUAAACCGCUUUUCCCCGGGAAGAAUAAGCCCCCCGCGGGGGUGAGUGCCGGUACCGGGGAAUAAGGAUCGGCUAACUCCGUG